rnacentral:lncRNA from 1 species
CGGUCUUUUCAAAAUAUAUUCAGAAUUCAUAGCCAAUCCAUUUAAUGCUCUAUCUGAUUUCUGGUUCUUGUGAUAUACUCUUACAAAAUUCAUCUAAAAUUCAGGGCUCUUACAUAUUCUGGCAACACAAUUUAUAUAAAAACUGAUUUCUCAGGAAAAAAAGGGAAAAUUAUGUUAUUUGCAUUGAAUGAACAAAUGAUUAGCAUAAUAGCAAAGCUACUUAAAAUCAGAGAAAUUAGAAAAAAAAAAAAAAAUCAGCACAGUUGAGUCUGGGCAUUGCAUGUUGGAUGAUCAAAACAGAGGUCUCGAGUGAGAAUUUAGAUCCUGAAAUACGCAGGCCUGCAGCAAGUCAUUCGAAGAAGUGUGCAAAACUCCCAUCAUUCAGCUUCAUUUCUGCUUCCCGCUCAGCAAGAUUACUCUGUAUCUUGUUUUCUGAACUGCGACAGACAGGAAACUUAUCCCGGUGAGUUUUUAUUCCGGGAUGUCAAGGGCACAACCUGCGUAGCUUAAUGAAUCUCCAUCAUCUUCGCCGCAGGUGUAAGUUAUGAAGAUAACUGCUAGAUGGAGGAUUUUCACACUAUUGAUUUAGCAUUUGUUUCAAGCCAGAUUCAUCAUUAAAUCACAGAUUUGCUUUACAAGCAAUAACUAGGGGGAUUUCAUAUUACUGAAUCGCUUAUUUUUGGAGACAGAAGAAGAGUGCUCACAUUUUGUUUUUACUGCACAAACACUUGAUAAAGAAUCUGAGUGAGAAGUUCCUCUCGCCAAGAACAUUUGCACCCAGAAAUUUCCUUAAAUAAAUAAGGUUUUAACAAGGUGAAUGCUUUGCUUUUUCUUUUUUUGUGAAGAACUUCAGAGUAAACAAAGGUAAGACUAUUGGGUUUUGAUGUUUACCUUGUGUGGGAGAAAUAUGAUGUUUAUCCAGAACUUCAGAGUAAACAAAAUGUAUUCUUAAUGUAUUCUUUUUUAGGAUCCGGCCCACCCAAAUGUAAAAAGUCUUGCAAUUAUUAUAAAUAACAGCAACACUCGAGAAUUAAAUAAUAAACUGAUUUUAUAAAUCAUAUUGUAACGUUAUAGGAGAAUAUCAAAUAAAUAAAUUAUUAAAUUUCUAGAAAUUUUAAAGAAAAAAUUAUAAUUUAAUCAUUAAUUGAUGUUUUUAUUUUUAAAAAGAUAUAUUAAAACAUUAUUAAAAUUUUAAAAUAUUAAAAAUUAAUUUAUUU